rnacentral:rRNA from 1 species
UCGGCAGCUACCAUGCAAGUCGAGCGCACUCUUCGGAGUGAGCGGCGGACGGGUUAGUAACGCGUGGGAACAUACCCUUCUCUACGGAAUAGCCUCGGGAAACUGAGAGUAAUACCGUAUACGCCCUUCGGGGGAAAGAUUUAUCGGAGAUGGAUUGGCCCGCGUUAGAUUAGAUAGUUGGUGGGGUAAUGGCCUACCAAGUCUACGAUCUAUAGCUGGUUUGAGAGGAUGAUCAGCAACACUGGGACUGAGACACGGCCCAGACUCCUACGGGAGGCAGCA